rnacentral:hammerhead_ribozyme from 1 species
GCACCGCUGAGGAGUCCCAUAAUAGAACGAAACGGCCGUCCAAUGC